rnacentral:rRNA from 1 species
GCAUAUCAAUAAGCGGAGGAAAAGAAACCAACAGGGAUUGCCCCAGUAACGGCGAGUGAAGCGGCAAGAGCUCAAAUUUGAAAGCUGGCUCCUUCGGGGUCCGCAUUGUAAUUUGCAGAGGAUGCUUCGGGAGCGGUCCCCAUCUAAGUGCCCUGGAACGGGACGUCAUAGAGGGUGAGAAUCCCGUAUGGGAUGGGGUGUCCGCGCCCGUGUGAAGCUCCUUCGACGAGUCGAGUUGUUUGGGAAUGCAGCUCUAAAUGGGUGGUAAAUUUCAUCUAAAGCUAAAUAUUGGCCGGAGACCGAUAGCGCACAAGUAGAGUGAUCGAAAGAUGAAAAGCACUUUGAAAAGAGAGUUAAAAAGCACGUGAAAUUGUUGAAAGGGAAGCGCUUGCGACCAGACUCGCUCGCGGGGUUCAGCCGGCAUUCGUGCCGGUGUACUUCCCCGCGGGCGGGCCAGCGUCGGUUUGGGCGGUCGGUCAAAGGCCCUCGGAAGGUAACGCCCCUCGGGGCGUCUUAUAGCCGAGGGUGCAAUGCGACCUGCCCAGACCGAGGAACGCGCUUCGGCUCGGACGCUGGCAUAAUGGUCGUAAACGACCCGUCUUGAAACACGGACC